rnacentral:rRNA from 1 species
AGAGUUUGAUCCUGGCUCAGAAUCAACGCUGGCGGCGUGCCUAACACAUGCAAGUCGAACGAGAAAGUGGAGCAAUCCAUGAGUAAAGUGGCGCACGGGUGAGUAACACGUGACUAACCUACCCUUGAGUGGGGGAUAACCUGGGGAAACCUUAGCUAAUACCGCAUAACACCUACGGGUCAAAGGAGCAAUUCGCUUAAGGAGGGGGUCGCGGCAGAUUAGUUAGUUGGCGGGGUAAUGGCCCACCAAGACAGUGAUCUGUAUCCGGCCUGAGAGGGCGCACGGACACACUGGAACUGAAACACGGUCCAGACUCCUACGGGAGGCAGCAGUGGGGAAUUUUGCGCAAUGGGGGAAACCCUGACGCAGCAACGCCGCGUGGAGGAUGAAGUCCCUUGGGACGUAAACUCCUUUCGACCGGGACGAUUAUGACGGUACCGGAAGAAGAAGCCCCGGCUAACUUCGUGCCAGCAGCCGCGGUAAUACGAGGGGGGCGAGCGUUGUUCGGAAUUAUUGGGCGUAAAGGGUGCGUAGGCGGUUCGGUAAGUUUCGUGUGAAAUCUUCGGGCUCAACUCGAAGCCUGCACGAAAUACUGCCGGGCUUGAGUGUGGGAGAGGUGAGUGGAAUUUCCGGUGUAGCGGUGAAAUGCGUAGAUAUCGGAAGGAACACCUGUGGCGAAAGCGGCUCACUGGACCACAACUGACGCUGAUGCACGAAAGCUAGGGGAGCAAACAGGAUUAGAUACCCCCGUAGUCC